rnacentral:rRNA from 1 species
AUUGAACGCUGGCGGCAUGCCUUACACAUGCAAGUCGAACGGUAACGGGCCUUCGGGUGCCGACGAGUGGCGAACGGGUGAGUAAUGCAUCGGAACGUACCCUUCAGUGGGGGAUAACGUAGCGAAAGUUACGCUAAUACCGCAUAUUCUGUGAGCAGGAAAGCGAGGGGAUCGCAAGACCUUGCGCUGAUUGAGCGGCCGAUGUCAGAUUAGCUAGUUGGUGAGGUAAAGGCUCACCAAGGCGACGAUCUGUAGCGGGUCUGAGAGGAUGAUCCGCCACACUGGAACUGAGACACGGUCCAGACUCCUACGGGAGGCAGCAGUGGGGAAUUUUGGACAAUGGGGGCAACCCUGAUCAGCCAUGCCGCGUGAGUGAAGAAGGCCUCGGUUGUAAGACUCUUCGGUCCGGGAACGGAAAGUACGUAA